GUGUGUGUGUGUGUUUGUAUAGUGUGUUUAUAUAAUGCACACUACAUUAUAUAAACACACUGCAUUAUAUAAACACACUACGCAAACACACUG